CAUAGCCUACGAUAACACUCUCUGGUUUGGUAGUUUGGCCGCUCCAGAGGAUCCUUCUCUUCCUCAGUUAGCCAGAGAAACUAGAGACUUCUUAGCAGGAUUCAACAAAUGCUUGGCGGCUGAUUCUCGAAUAGAGAUAUCGCAGGUAUGCAUUGGGGAUGGAGUCACCAUCUGUAGGCGUAUUUCUUGACUCAUUACGCCAUAUUAGUG
rnacentral:misc_RNA from 1 species